rnacentral:rRNA from 1 species
GACGUAGGGCGCGAGCGUUGUCCGGAUUUAUUGGGCGUAAAGAGCUCGUAGGCGGCUUGUCGCGUCGACCGUGAAAACUUGGGGCUCAACCCCAAGCCUGCGGUCGAUACGGGCAGGCUAGAGUUCGGUAGGGGAGACUGGAAUUCCUGGUGUAGCGGUGAAAUGCGCAGAUAUCAGGAGGAACACCGGUGGCGAAGGCGGGUCUCUGGUACGUGACUGACGCUGAGACGCGAAAGCGUGGGGAGCGAACAGG